rnacentral:rRNA from 1 species
UACAGAGGUCCCAAGCGUUGUUCGGAUUCAUUGGGCGUAAAGGGUGCGUAGGCGGCGCGGUAAGUCGGGUGUGAAAUCUCGGGGCUUAACUCCGAAACUGCAUUCGAUACUGCCGUGCUUGAGGACUGGAGAGGAGACUGGAAUUUACGGUGUAGCGGUGAAAUGCGUAGAUAUCGUAAGGAAGACCAGUGGCGAAGGCGGGUCUCUGGACAGUUCCUGACGCUGAGGCACUAAGGCUAGGGGAGCAAACGGG